rnacentral:rRNA from 1 species
AACGAACGCUGGCGGCAUGCCUAACACAUGCAAGUCGAACGAAGCCUUCGGGCUUAGUGGCGCACGGGUGCGUAACGCGUGGGAAUCUGCCCUUAGGUACGGAAUAACUCAGGGAAACUUGUGCUAAUACCGUAUGAUGUCGCGAGACCAAAGAUUUAUCGCCUAGGGAUGAGCCCGCGUUGGAUUAGCUAGUUGGUGAGGUAAAGGCUCACCAAGGCGACGAUCCAUAGCUGGUCUGAGAGGAUGAUCAGCCACACUGGGACUGAGACACGGCCCAGACUCCUACGGGAGGCAGCAGUGGGGAAUAUUGGACAAUGGGCGAAAGCCUGAUCCAGCAAUGCCGCGUGAGUGAAGAAGGCCUUCGGGUUGUAAAGCUCUUUUACCCGGGAAGAUAAUGACUGUACCGGGAGAAUAAGCCCCGGCUAACUCCGUGCCAGCCGCCGCCGUAA